UACGUGGAAUGAAAUAUGAUCCUCGGCUUCUUUAUAAGGCUGUUAACUUUCUUUUUUUUAAUUUUCUUGUCACCAGAUGUCGUCCGGCAAAAGACGCCAUCAGCAACUAGUAUAAAAUUUCCUACAGCAGAGAGAAAUAAAGUCCCUUCAUCUGUUGCACUUACACUGAACUUGUUCUCAUCUUUCUCCUGGUACUACAAUUCUAUCAUUUUUCCAAACCUGAAGCAAGAUUUCUCGAAACUUUUAAUGUGUUCUUCAACAAUGCAUGCACUUCCGCAUCUCAUUUAUCCUCGACCUCAGAUGCCACUAGUUCCUCUUCCUUUUUUACCUGCUUAUGCAAUGGUAGGUUGUGGCAAUCACUUCCGCACAUACCCCUUUCUUUUUGCUGCUCAUUCUUCUGGCCAAACACCUGUGAAACUAGACUUCGUAAAAGAUUUAGAAAUUGCAAGCAUAAGAACAGAAAAUUUCUCUCACAAACUUAUUCAUAUAGACGCACGACCAAUGGUAUCUAAUAUAUCAAAUACUAUGAAACAAAAAGCUUCGAAAUUCGAUUUUUCGCGUCUAGCAGAAUCAGCUACGACCAAAGACGAUGAAAUAGAUUCCAAAGAAGCCACACGUUCUCAGAAGACAACAGAUGUUGAUGAGAUUGUUACUAAAGGACUAAUUCGCUCCCACAGACAGCGAGGUAUUCCAACUACAGCUUCUUUUCCAUUUACAUCUGGUCACUCAUUUCCGAUUAUAACACCUUUCUAUAGUAUUGGACCAGUCGAAUUUGAAGCAGAGAUCUUUGAACAGAAAGAUUCUCGAGGUCGAGGGUCAUCGAAGCCGAAGAAAGAGUUUAUCUGUAAAUAUUGUCAGCGUCACUUCACCAAAUCUUACAACCUGUUGAUUCACGAAAGAACACACACGGAUGAGCGACCUUACAGCUGCGACAUCUGCCAUAAAGCUUUCCGGAGACAAGAUCAUCUACGAGAUCACAGAUAUAUCCAUUCCAAGGACAAGCCUUUCAAGUGUACGGAAUGUGGAAAAGGCUUCUGUCAAUCUCGCACUCUAGCCGUCCACAGGAUUCUUCACAUGGAAGAUUCACCCCACAAGUGUCCAACCUGUGGGCGCAACUUUAACCAGAGAAGCAAUUUAAAGACCCAUCUGCUCACCCACACCGAUAUCAAACCAUACAACUGCGGUUCUUGUAGUAAAGUGUUCCGGCGGAACUGCGACCUCAGGCGACACAUUUUAACCCACACCCUUGACAUACCGGAUCAAACAGAAAACACUCAUCAUUCUCCAUUAAGUUGCAGUGUUCCGGACACAGACAUUUUGUCGGGAAAAUUAGAUUCUUAUAUGCACGAUAUACUAGACGUAGAGAACUGAAACUAUAGCUUUACCUCCCACACAAUCACCUUGUACAUAGAAACCGUUUUACAACGUAAACAAUUCUAUUUCAUCGAAGAACAACUUUCUUUGAGAGCCGUAAAAGAUUCAUUCUGCAAAACAAACAAUUUGAAAUUAGUUGAUAUAAUAGUGACAAAAUAACCAACUUAUAAGCAUAAAUGCUUCUAAUUGUUAACGUGGAUUGGUUUUAUGUUUUUUUAUUCUAACUCCAUCAGAACGAAAAAAAAGCUUAUUCUGAUAAAAACUAUGAUUGAUACUUUUUACACUGCUCUGUUGUUUUGUAACUUUACGGCAUUAAACUAUAACGAAGCAUUGAAUAAUAUAUAAAUGUAUUUAAAAAUAGUAUUUGUGUGAUUAGAUCGAAGCGUCUUUUAUUACAGUUUGAAACAUUUGUUUUUGUUAUUGUACCAAAGAUAUUGUUUUCAAAACUACUGUUAUACUGGUAUUAUUAUCUCUAUAGUUAUCACAAUGACAAAACAGUGUCAUCGUAUUAUGUUUUAUUUAUAAACUUAAAAUAUGCGUUUAUUAAUUAUUAGAAUCAGAAACCCAUGGAAGUCUCGGGUGCCACAGGAA
rnacentral:misc_RNA from 1 species